AUGGAGCCGCCAGAUUCAACUUCGAAUAGAGGGGAUGCUGCCGCUCGGACCUUCGAAUUGAUAGUCAAUUUCUUUCCAUCAAAGGCAAAAUUAGUUGAUGGUAGCAUACAGAACAUUGAGAGAGACACAAUUGUUAAAUGGGAGGUUGAGUUUACAGAGAUUGAUCCACAAGUUCUACAGAACAUGGGAGAGACGGCAGUGAAGAAAUGGGUGGAAAAAAUUGGGGAGAAUAUAGUUUGGGGUCCAGAGCAAGAAGUAUCACUGUUGCGGUUUGAUGAUUGGAAAGGAGAGUAUGUGAUAAUAGAAGAUGGUGAACAGAUUGUUGAAGAAAUCGAUCGGCAAAACGGCUGGACAAGCAAACGGGCUAAUUUUUUUGCUAAGCUCGUUGAUCUGAACAUUUUUUCGAAGGUUGGAUAUGUGCCAUCAUAA
rnacentral:rRNA from 1 species